GAUGAACGCUGGCGGCGUGCCUAAUACAUGCAAGUCGAGCGAACGGACGAGAAGCUUGCUUUUCUGAUGUUAGCGGCGGACGGGUGAGUAACACGUGGAUAACCUACCUAUAAGACUGGGAUAACUUCGGGAAACCGGAGCUAAUACCGGAUAAUAUUUUGAACCGCAUGGUUCAAAAGUGAAAGACGGUCUUGCUGUCACUUAUAGAUGGAUCCGCGCUGCAUUAGCUAGUUGGUAAGGUAACGGCUUACCAAGGCAACGAUGCAUAGCCGACCUGAGAGGGUGAUCGGCCACACUGGAACUGAGACACGGUCCAGAGUCCUACGGGAGGCAGCAGUAGGGAAUCUUCCGCAAUGGGCGAAAGCCUGACGGAGCAACGCCGCGUGAGUGAUGAAGGUCUUCGGAUCGUAAAACUCUGUUAUUAGGGAAGAACAUAUGUGUAAGUAACUGUGCACAUCGUGACGGUACCUAAUCAGAAAGCCACGGCUAACUACGUG
rnacentral:rRNA from 1 species